rnacentral:lncRNA from 1 species
UUCAAUUUCGUUGCUAUCAUUUUUUUGAUAAAAGAGAGUGCCCUCUCCGAUUUUCAUUAAAAGAAAUCAUUCAGUCUUACAACUAACAGAACCAAACUAAACUACUAAUAAACUCCCUUCUGGCAUCGCACUAAACCAAUGGAGAGGAGGGGGAGCCAUCCCUCCCCCACCUAAAGCCCCCAAAGGCAGUGUCGCAUAGAGAGAAUAAAGGCCUGGGCUCUGAAGCAAGUCCCAGCCCCAGCAUUACAAAGUUUAAGAAACCACAUAGUAUCAAACAGUCUUGAGUAGACAAACUACAAGCAGUCCCCUCUACAUGGAGAGCAAAACAAGAUACAAAAGAGCAGAGUGAAGCAAAACGCAGGAAAUGCUGCCUCCCAGCAUCCAUCGCAGCAACAUAGAUCCGAGGAAACUUGAAGCUUUUUGGUCAUCCCAUAAUUCUUCUAGUCUCCAGACGCCACCCAUGUAUUGCUUUGAAUACCUCUUCAGCAACUUCACCUACUCGCUUCACUCCUGCUUCCAUCAUAUCACUUCUUGCGGGGGUUUUCUGCAAAAUAUUCCAAUCAUGUAAGUUUUUAAGAAGCAGAUUAAUAGGUAUACAUGGAUCAUUAUCCUGUUAUUAUCAAAAACCACACUAUUUCUCAAUUUCCAUAAAGUCCAACAAAUACCAGAAAUUCCUACCAUAACUAAACCUCUCUCUUCCUUUCCAAAGGUUUUAGCCCAUAUUCUCAUUACCAGAUCCAAGUCGCCUGGUAUAUCAGUUAAAUCAAAG